AUUCGAUUAGAGUUUGAUCCUGGCUCAGAUUGAACGCUGGCGGAAUGCUUUACACAUGCAAGUCGAACGGCAGCACGGGAGCUUGCUCCUGGUGGCGAGUGGCGAACGGGUGAGUAAUGCGUCGGAACGUACCGAGUAAUGGGGGAUAACGCAGCGAAAGCUGUGCUAAUACCGCAUACGCCCUGAGGGGGAAAGUGGGGGAUCGCAAGACCUCACGUUAUUCGAGCGGCCGACGUCUGAUUAGCUAGUUGGUGGGGUAAAGGCCUACCAAGGCGACGAUCAGUAGCGGGUCUGAGAGGAUGAUCCGCCACACUGGGACUGAGACACGGCCCAGACUCCUACGGGAGGCAGCAGUGGGGAAUUUUGGACAAUGGGGGCAACCCUGAUCCAGCCAUUCCGCGUGAGUGAAGAAGGCCUUCGGGUUGUAAAGCUCUUUCAGCUGGAACGAAACGGUACGUCCUAAUACGGUGUGCUAAUGACGGUACCAGCAGAAGAAGCACCGGCUAACUACGUGCCAGCAGCCGCGGUAAUACGUAGGGUGCGAGCGUUGUCCGGAAUUACUGGGCGUAAAGGGUGCGUAGGUGGCCUUUUAAGUUGGAUGUGAAAUACCCGGGCUUAACUUG
rnacentral:rRNA from 1 species